GGAGUCGUGCCUGAAUAUAAAGGGCCACUUUGAUAGAGUGAACAAUGAAGGUUCAAGUCCUCCCGACUCCU
rnacentral:tRNA from 1 species